rnacentral:misc_RNA from 1 species
CACGCGUCUGCGCAUUUUGCCGCGUCACCGACGGCAGCCGGAACAGAUCCGCGAGCAGAUUGCAGCGCUCCCGCACAUGACGGCCGACCAUGACGUUCUCGGCAGNNNNNNNNNGGAAUAUCUGGAGGUUCUGGAAAGUCCGCGACAUGCCGCGCGUGGCGAGCUUGUCCGGCGUCAAACCUGUGACGUCCUCGCCCGACAGUUCGACCUGUCCUUGA